UGGGGCCUGUGAUCUGGGGCAGCAGAUUUGUCUGAGAUGAAGAAAAGAAAAUGCAAAAUAUCAGGUCCCAGGUGAUGAGACAAUGCUGGGCCCAAGGAACAGUUUCCUGGUAAACACUUUUGAGAAAGUCCAAUUUUAUUAUGAAUGAGUGACAGAAGAAAGGAACUUGGCUGGAAGAGCAAAGAAAGACACUGUCACCCAGCCUCCUAGGGAGAGCGGAGCCUGUGAACAAAUGAUGAUGGCUACAGUGAAGACAAUGGAGAAGACGGUAGCGGUGGUGAUGGUGGUGGUGUUGGUGAUUAUUGUGAAGAAGAUGAUAUGAUUAUGAAGAAUAUUAUGAUUAUGAAGAAGAAGGUGGUGGUGGCGGUGGUGACGAUGAUGAAGAUGAUGAUGAUGGUGGUGACAAUGAUUAUGAAGAUGAUAAUGAUAAUAAUUAUGAAGGAACAGCCCCCAUACCAGGUUAAAAGAAAAUCUAGCUUCCUUCUAUGGAUCAGCUCACUGCUUACGGCUUUGGAGUAGACUGUAUCUACUCCAAAAUUCAUGUUGAAGCAUAACCCUCAUGGUGGUGACAUUAGAAGAUUGAGCCUGCCAGGAAGGGCAGUGAACUCCUGCAAUCCUAGCAGUCUGGAGGCAGAGACAGGAGUGAGUUCAUUACAAGACUGUCAUAUACCUCCUGACAAAGAGCCAGGUCCUUUGGAAGAAGCAUCAAAGUCACAGUGGCUCUCCUCCACGAUGGAGGCGCAAACUCCAUUGUCCCUCUGCAGGAUGCCACUGCCAUUCAAGUCUCUUGCAGGCCUCUACACCUGUUUUGCUCUGUAGUGUACAAAGUGUUUACUGGCUCCUCCAAACCUCAUCCUGC
rnacentral:lncRNA from 1 species